CCCGACGUCGACGCUACCAUGCAAGUCGAGCGGAUGCCGGGGUCUUGUACCUGGUGGCGAGCGGCGCGACGGGUGAGAUAUGCCUAAGACUCUGCCUGGUAGUGGGGGAUCACGCUCGGAAACGGACGCUAAUCCCGUAUACGUCCUAGGGGAGAAAGCGGGGGACCUUCGGGUCUUGCGCUAUCAGAUGACCCUAGGUCGGAUUAUCUAGUUGGAGAGGUAGUGUCUCACCAGGGCGACUAUCCGUAUGUGGUCUGAGAGGAUGAUCACUCACUCUGGAUCUGACACACGGUCCACACUCCCACGGGGGGCCACAGUGGGGAAUAUUGCACAAUGGGCAAAAGCCUGAUCCCCCCGUGCCGCGUGUGAGAAGAGGGUCUUCAGAUUGUAACGCUCUUUAUGUUGGGAGGAGGGGCAAUCCCCUAAUGCGUAUGUGUUGUGACGAUACCCACAAAAUAAGCCCGGGAUAACUCUGUGCCCGCACGCGCGGAUAUACAGAGGGUGAAAGCGUCUUUCAAAAUUUCUGGGCGAAAAGCGCCCGCAGGCGGUUUGUUAACUUAUAUGAAAACCCCCCGGGCUCCUUGUGGGAAGUGUUUAUAGCAUUUGAUCAUCUAAAACUUUGGAAAAGGGGGGGGGUAUUUUUCUUGUGUCGGCGGCCAAACCGCCGCCCAUCUGAGGAGGGAACCCCUCGGGGACAAAAGCCCCCCCCCGGGGAGUGGAUUCUGACCCUGGGGGGGGAAAAAACGGGGGGGGACAAACGGGGAUUAUAAUCCCCCGGGGAUCCCCCCGCCGGUAAAGGAUGUCAACUAACCCGUUGGGAGCCUGGAGCUCUUAGUGGCGCAGCUAACGCAUUAAGUUGACCGCCUGGGGAGUACGGCGGCAGGGUUAAAACUCAAAGAAAUUGGCGGGGGCCGGCACAAGCGGUGGAGCAUGUGGUUUAAUUCGAAGCAACGCGAAGAACCUUCCCAGGCCUGGACAUCCAAUGAACUUUCCAGAGAGGGAUGGGUGCCUUCGGGAACAUUGAGACAGGUGCUGCAUGGCUGUCGUCAGCUCGUGUCGUGAGAUGUUGGGUUAAGUCCCGUAACGAGCGCAACCCUUGUCCUUAGUUACCAGCACGUCAUGGUGGGCACUCUAAGGAGACUGCCGGUGACAAACCGGAGGAAGGUGGGGAUGACGUCAAGUCAUCAUGGCCCUUACGGCCUGGGCUACACACGUGCUACAAUGGUCGGUACAGAGGGUUGCCAAGCCGCGAGGUGGAGCUAAUCCCAGAAAACCGAUCGUAGUCCGGAUCGCAGUCUGCAACUCGACUGCGUGAAGUCGGAAUCGCUAGUAAUCGCGAAUCAGAAUGUCGCGGUGAAUACGUUCCCGGGCCUUGUACACACCGCCCGUCACACCAUGGGAGUGGGUUGCACCAGAAGUAGCUAGUCUAACCUUCGGGAGGACGGUUACCACGGUGUAUUCAUANCUGGCGUAAGUCUACACGAGCGAGCUGAA
rnacentral:rRNA from 1 species